UACGUAGGGUGCGAGCGUUAAUCGGAAUUACUGGGCGUAAAGCGUGCGCAGGCGGUUCUGACAGUCAGCUGUGAAAGCCCCGGGCUUAACCUGGGAAUUGCGGUUGAAACUACAGGGCUAGAAUCUGGCAGAGGGGGGUGGAAUUCCACGUGUAGCAGUGAAAUGCGUAGAGAUGUGGAGGAACACCGAUGGCGAAGGCAGCCCCCUGGGCUGAGAUUGACGCUCAGGCACGAAAGCGUGGGGAGCAAACAGG
rnacentral:rRNA from 1 species